CUUGGUCCUCUUUUGGAGAGGGUGGUGCUGCCAGGAUUUCCACUGCUCCCUUAGCAGACUCUUUCUGGAUGAAGAAAAAGGAAAAGCACCAGCAAGACUAUUAGGUGUCAUUUUACCUUGGUCAUCUUCAAGAAGCAUGGAAGAUAUUGAUGCACUUAUCUCAUCCUUUGCCCGUGGUCUCAUAUUCUUGCUUCUGAAUAAACACCAGGGGACAGAGCAUCUUCUUGGCACAGCAGUUUUAGGGUUAUGAAGAGGUCGAGCUAAAUUGCGUUUCAAAAGAAUUUUAAGAAUCAGCCUAGAUGCAAACACAAAAAAUUCAGGCAGAAGCUGAAGUACAGCUCUGUUGCAGAGAGAGGGUCAUGGAGUCUGGCUUCUUUUUGACAUAAUGCUGCAAAGAGUGAGUGCUGUAUAAAAAAAACCCAAAACACCACAACAGAAUACAGACUUGAUGACAGAGAGCCCCCAGAGCAGGAGCAGAGCCGUGCUGCACCCCAGAAGGCGCCUCAGUCUCAAGAGCAAGCCUGCCUUGUUGUUCAGGGAGCAUCAUGGAAUGGCCUCACCUCUGUCAUACCAGAGCUGAUGACAUGUGUUACAGAAGGGGGUCAGAAUCUGCCUCUGGAAACCAGGCAUACUUAAAAACAUCCUCUUUCCUCAGAAACUGGAUCUGCCUUCUUGCAAGAAUUUUUUUUUCUGCUUCUUUCUGCCUUUUUGAAAGCAGAUGUUUGGCUGCUGACUGCUCCCUGAUCCCCCAUGUGGAAAGAUCCAAGCUACAUCCUGGAUCUCUUGGUUAGCUGGAGCUGAGGUUAGUCUCCAAAGCACUGGUCCUGUCCUCUGAGCAGUGAUUCAGAACAUGAGAGUUCCUGCCAUUGCUCAGAUGAUACAAUUUAUUAAAAAGAUAUUUUAAAAGUUACAUGGUAGUCUCACUUUACAGUGGCUCGAGGUCAGCCAUGCAGAACCUUCUAGUUUAGGGUUCCUAAUCUACAUACAAUCCUUUAAGCCUUUAUUGGAAACACCAGAAUAGUUCUGAGGAACCUAACCUUCAGGCACCAUGGACAAGUAUUGUCUUUUGCAAGAGCUAUUUUUAAUGUAUUAAAGAUUAACAUUGAUGUAUAAAGUUAAUCAGGAAUAA